rnacentral:misc_RNA from 1 species
UCCCCGUUAUCCUGGGCAGUCCUUCCAGAGUUCCCGGUUUCCCGGUCCUACUUCGGCCAUGUCAAGCCUGGGUAAGGUUCUGCGCGUUGCAUCGAAUUAAACCACACGCUCCGCUGCUUGUGCGGGCCCCCGUCAAUUCCUUUGAGUUUUAGCCUUGCGGCCGUACUCCCCAGGCGGGGCACUUAUUGCGUUAGCUCCGGCACCGGAGGGGUCGAUACCCCCGACACCUAGUGCCCAUCGUUUACGGCGUGGACUAC